AAUCAACGCUGGCGGCGUGCCUAACACAUGCAAGUCGAACGCGAAAGCCCCGCAAGGGGCAAGUAGAGUGGCAAACGGGUGAGUAACACGUGGGUGACCUGCCUUCGAGCGGGGGAUAACGUCCCGAAAGGGACGCUAAUACCGCAUGACAUCCUGCCUUUGAAGAGGUGGAGAUCAAAGCUGGGGAUCGCAAGACCUAGCACUCGAAGAGGGGCCCGCGCCUGAUUAGCAGUUGGUGGGGUAACGGCUCACCAAGGCGACGAUCAGUAGCCGGCCUGAGGAGGGCGGACGGCCACACUGGGACUGAGACACGGCCCAGACUCCUACGGGAGGCAGCAGUGGGGAAUUGUUCGCAAUGGGCGCAAGCCUGACGACGCAACGCCGCGUGGAGGACG
rnacentral:rRNA from 1 species